rnacentral:rRNA from 1 species
GCCCUUCGGGGUACACGAGCGGCGAACGGGUGAGUAACACGUGGGUGAUCUGCCCUGUACUUCGGGAUAAGCCUGGGAAACUGGGUCUAAUACCGGAUAUGACCACGGGAUGCAUGUCUUGUGGUGGAAAGAUUUAUCGGUACAGGAUGGGCCCGCGGCCUAUCAGCUUGUUGGUGGGGUAAUGGCCUACCAAGGCGACGACGGGUAGCCGGCCUGAGAGGGCGACCGGCCACACUGGGACUGAGACACGGCCCAGACUCCUACGGGAGGCAGCAGUGGGGAAUAUUGCACAAUGGGCGAAAGCCUGAUGCAGCGACGCCGCGUGAGGGAUGACGGCCUUCGGGUUGUAAACCUCUUUCGACAGGGACGAAGCGCAAGUGACGGUACCUGUAGAAGAAGCACCGGCCAACUACGUGCCAGCAGCCGCGGUAAUACGUAGGGUGCGAGCGUUGUCCGGAAUUACUGGGCGUAAAGAGCUUGUAGGCGGUUCGUCGCGUCGUUCGUGAAAACUUGGGGCUCAACCCCAAGCUUGCGGGCGAUACGGGCGGACUAGAGUACUUCAGGGGAGACUGGAAUUCCUGGUGUAGCGGUGAAAUGCGCAGAUAUCAGGAGGAACACCGGUGGCGAAGGCGGGUCUCUGGGAAGUAACUGACGCUGAGAAGCGAAAGCGUGGGUAGCGAACAGGAUUAGAUACCCUGGUAGUCCACGCCGUAAACGGUGGGUACUAGGUGUG